rnacentral:rRNA from 1 species
UACGUAGGGUGCGAGCGUUGUCCGGAAUUACUGGGCGUAAAGAGCUCGUAGGUGGUUUGUCGCGUUGUUCGUGAAAACUCACAGCUCAACUGUGGGCGUGCGGGCGAUACGGGCAGACUGGAGUACUGCAGGGGAGACUGGAAUUCCUGGUGUAGCGGUGGAAUGCGCAGAUAUCAGAAGGAACGCCGGUGGCGAAAGCGACUCUCUGGCUCGUAUCUGACGCUGAAGCGCGAAAGCGUGGGGAUCAAACAGG